rfam:Zancudomyces culisetae strain COL-18-3 scaffold-72, whole genome shotgun sequence.
GCCUUCUUGGCUCAGUUGGCAGAGCGUCUGCCUAGUAAGCAGAAGGUCGUCGGUUCGAUUCCGACAGAAGGCA